AAGCUGGGAGCGCUGGGGUCUCCUCCCUCGGACACCGACGUUUCGGAGAACUGAGGAGCUGAGUAGCAGCCUGGAAACUGGAACUCCGAGGGUUCCCUGAAGUAGAGAGGCUCCCUUUGCCCAGUGGCCCACUUACUCAUGCAAUCGUUGGUUGCUUCUUGUGUGUGCCCUGACUGGGGAUCAAACCACAACUUUCGUGUAUCAGGAUGACGCUCUAACCAACGGAACUACCCUGCCAGGGCCCAGGUCACCGAAUUCUCCCGCCUCGGUUUGCUCAGCUGUGAAAACAGAGAGAGAGGAAGGGAGAAGGAGAAAGAUGGAAACAUCGAUGAGACAGA